UUUUUCUUUUUUUCUUUUCUCGGAACAAAACUCGAUCGCUUCGAGAAAGAAGUCAAAUCUUGCUGAAUCCCCCCAGCUCCUCGGAGACAGUCCAAAAAGGGAAGUUUUCCAUCUCGUUCUGUUUCAUUUUCAAACAAGAUUAGCUGGUACUUCUUACUGUAAUUGCGUUAGCUGUUUCAUUUUUGCGGAACUUAGCUCCUAUAUAAGCCUUCGAGAUAUUUACCCAGGUGUACGCUUGCUUGAGUCCCGAUUUUGGGGAAUCAUUUCUGUGUUUAUACAGCGAGUUGAUGAAUUUUGGUACAAAUUCUUUUAAGAUCUUUUUGAGCUAUUGAUGUUCUGAAGCCCUUCUGAGUCUAGCAUAUUGGAUAGAAAUGGAUCCACCACCAGACGAACUCAAUAGUUGCAUUGAUGGGUAUAUAGUCGAUGAUGGUGAUGAUGCCGCCUUUUCGAUUUUACCAGAUGAUGAUCUUGCCAGUAGGCUCACGAUCGACGACAUGUUCAAUAAGUUCACCUAUAGCUACACAUACAUGCCUCCUUUGGGCGCUAACCUCGGGAAGGAACCGGCCGAGGACUAUGAUUUUAGUGAUGCAGCUCUCAAGUACAUUAACCAGAUGCUUAUGGAGGAAGACAUAGAAGCGAAGAGCAUCGGGUGUCACGAGGCCUCGGCGCUCGAAGCAGCUGAGAAAUCACUCUACGAUGUCAUUGGAGAGAGGUAUCCACCAGCUGCAGAUCAGCAUCCGUUACCUAAUCAAACCAAUGAGAGCUCGUGUCAUAGUAGCGCUAGUGCGAUUAACUUGGUUGCGUCAGAGCCGAAUUGUGAAUCACAAGAGCAUACUGUCUUCACCACGGUGUCUCAAUCCGUCUCAUCAUCAACUGGCCAGUCAUUGGAUGGUGUCUAUGAUGGUAUCACUACCGCUGGACGUGCUGAAUCUCCAGUGAGUGCCUCUUCUCUUUCUGAACUAAUUGGAAGUGAGUCUGUUUUGCAGUUCAAGGGCAAUGGUGAAGAAGCGAGAGAGUCGCUCGCUUUUGGAAAUGAAAUUCUAGUUGAUUGGGAGAGGGGUGAAUUUUCCUUGAACGAACAAACUGAAGAGCCUACAAGUUUGGUUGCAAAUCUAGAGAACGAUGAGAACACGUUUGCGGACCUUGGAGGAUACAGGGGAAAGAAAAAUCCUUUUCAGGAGGAUGUGAACUUGGAAGAAGGAAGGGUGAGCAAGCAUUUAUCAGUUUACACCGAAAAAACUGUGAGGUCGGAGAUGUUCGAUAUAGUGUUGCUCAAUCGUAAAGGAAGCGAAGCUACCCUUCGUGAAGCUCUACGGAACACGAUGCAGAAUUGCAAACUGAAAGCACCGAAUGAGGGGAAGGUCCGCGGCAAGAAGCAAGGCAGGCGCAAGAGGGAUGUGGUCGACUUGAGAACUCUUUUGACACUUUGUGCACAAGCCGUUACUAUGGGCGAUCGAGGAAGCGCAGGUGAGCUGCUCAAGCAGAUCAGAAGGCACGCGUUGCCCACAGGGGACGGGAUGCAAAGGAUGGCACACUAUUUUGCGAAUGGUCUUGAGGCACGCCUCGCUGGGUCAGGCUCUCAGAUAUACAAGGCUCUCAUGGCUAGGCCAACAUCGGUUGUCGAUGUCUUGAAGGCUUACCAUCUGUUUCUCGCAGCUUGUCCAUUUAAGAAGCUCUCAAAUUUCUUCUCGAACAAGACGAUAAUGAACGUGGCCAGGGAGGCACCCAAGUUGCACAUCAUUGAUAUCGGAAUUCUCUAUGGUUUCCAGUGGCCUGGCCUUAUAGAGCGUCUCUCAUCGGGCCCCAGUGGACCACCUAAGCUUCGGAUUACUGCGAUUGAUCUGCCACAACCUGGAUUUAAACCAGCGGAAAUCGUCGAGGAAACCGGAAGACGCUUGGCGAGCUAUGCCAAAACUUUCAAUAUCCCAUUCGAGUUUAAUGCUAUAGCAAAAAAUUGGGAUGCCAUUAAAGUUGAGGAGCUAAAUAUCCACAGCGAUGAAAUCCUUAUCGUGAACUGCAUAAAUAGAUUACAUAACAUACUCGAUGACACGGUGCUGGCGGAGGAGAGUCCACGAGAUGUUGUACUGAAUCUGAUAAAAAAGAUGAAUCCCGAUGUUUUCAUUGAGGGAAUCAUAAAUGGCAGCCAUGGUGUCCCCUUUUUUGUUUCACGGUUCCGGGAGGCACUCUUCUAUUUUUCAGCUAUCUUUGACAUGCUCGAGGCGACCAUACCUCGUGACGCCCCAGAGAGGUUGCUGCUUGAGCGAGAGAUACUCGGGAGGCAUGCGAUGAAUGUCAUUGCCUGUGAAGGCUCGGAGAGGAUUGAGAGGCCCGAGACAUACAAAAUGUCACACGUGCGAAACCUGAGGGCCGGGUUUAGGCAGCUACCCUUGGAUAAGGAUAUGGUGAGCUUGGCAAAGGACAGGUUGAAAUCGUACUACCAUAAAGAUUUUGAGAUUGAAGAAGAUGGGCAGUGGCUAUUGCAGGGCUGGAAGGGCAGGAUUGUCUAUGCGCUAUCGACCUGGAGGUGAAUGUCUAAAUUGCCCGUCGAAAGUAGAUAAGAAAAGAUUUUCACAUCCUGCUUGUCUGUUUGGGCUCUUACUGUUUCUAUCGUAGUGUCAGAAGGCAUUUCCAGAUACGAAAGUUUGUUGACAAUGAUCGCAAGUUUAGCGGGACAUGAGAGAAAUCCUGGAUUCUGCACCAGCAAUGGCAUAGGAGUGACUGGCAUAGGAGUCACUCUUAACACGACUCAUAUUGCUGUGGUUUUUCAUUAUCUUCAUGGUCGAAGAUUCCGCGAUCUGGGAUGCCGUUAGGUUGUGUCCAUAACGAAGAAAAAUCAAGCUACAAUUAUCACUAUUAUUGUAGUUUGUUUUGGAUUCAUGUGAACCGAGAUGCUAUUAAGUUGUCUGCAAUGGAGGAAAAUCAUGCUACAAUCAUCACAAGCGGGGUUUGUUUUGAAAAUCCUGCUACAAUCAUCACUGGUGUGGUUUGUUUUGAGAUCCAAUCUGGGUCCAUUGCUCAUCUUUCGGUUCGCGGAUAAGAUUUUCAUGAGCUCAGAGUCACUUACAGAGAUAUCUCUGCCUUGAGUUGGCCAUCCCGAGGUCCAAACACCGUGCUUAUUUUCUGUUCAUUCAUAUUUUAUGCUCUGAUACAUGCUUUCAAGCAGCUUCUAUGAGAAGUAAAUCUGCUCAAAUUCUUCCCCAUGCAGAACAACUUUUGGUCUUGAGUCUUAUCGUUAAUCGGUGUUCGAGCUAGUUUACACACACAUCGAUUAGUUUAACACACCAAGCAAAUCGGAGGCAGACAAGUCACACUUGGUCCAGAGAAAUUCCAUAAUGAUGGAAAAUCCCAGACUUGGGACUGUUAGACGGAAAAAGCAUCAACAUGAAUCGUGCAAUGCUACUACUAAACAUCAUUCUU